rnacentral:misc_RNA from 1 species
GCAAAUUUCACCAUGAAACAAAAAAAAAUAGCAUAAAACACAGUUGUGGUUAUUCAUAAUUUUGAAGAAAUUGUUGAAAAACCUGUAGAGUAAAAUGGACAUGAUCUUGAACACCAGAGAGUUGUGUUUGUGCGGCUGUAUUAACUUCGUUGAUUUUCUGCCUAAUUCUUUCUGUAAUAAUUCUCUCUUCAGCUGCAGCUAUGGCAUCCAUCUUUUUAUCUGAAUGAUUUGUGUGAAUUUUUGGGGAUUUAGGGUUUAUGAUAACUACUAUUGGGGU